rnacentral:rRNA from 1 species
UACAGAGUUUUUGAUCAUGGCUCAUGACGAACCGCAGGUGGCCGGGGUGCUUAACACAUGCAAGUCGAACGAUGAAGCCGCUUCGGUGGUGGAUUAGUGGCGAACGGGUGAGUAACACGUGGGCAAUCUGCCCUGCACUCUGGGACAAGCCCUGGAAACGGGGUCUAAUACCGGAUACGACCUUCGAAGGCAUCUUUGAAGGUGGAAAGCUCCGGCGGUGCAGGAUGAGCCCGCGGCCUAUCAGCUUGUUGGUGGGGUGAUGGCCUACCAAGGCGACGACGGGUAGCCGGCCUGAGAGGGCGACCGGCCACACUGGGACUGAGACACGGCCCAGACUCCUACGGGAGGCAGCAGUGGGGAAUAUUGCACAAUGGGCGAAAGCCUGAUGCAGCGACGCCGCGUGAGGGAUGACGGCCUUCGGGUUGUAAACCUCUUUCAGCAGGGAAGAAGCGAGAGUGACGGUACCUGCAGAAGAAGCGCCGGCUAACUACGUGCCAGCAGCCGCGGUAAUACGUAGGGCGCAAGCGUUGUCCGGAAUUAUUGGGCGUAAAGAGCUCGUAGGCGGCUUGUCGCGUCGGAUGUGAAAGCCCGGGGCUUAACCCCGGGUCUGCAUUCGAUACGGGCAGGCUAGAGUUCGGUAGGGGAGAUCGGAAUUCCUGGUGUAGCGGUGAAAUGCGCAGAUAUCAGGAGGAACACCGGUGGCGAAGGCGGAUCUCUGGGCCGAUACUGACGCUGAGGAGCGAAAGCGUGGGGAGCGAACAGGAUUAGAUACCCUGGUAGUCCACGCCGUAAACGUUGGGCACUAGGUGUGGGCGACAUUCCACGUCGUCCGUGCCGCAGCUAACGCAUUAAGUGCCCCGCCUGGGGAGUCCCCGGCCGCAAGGCUAAAACUCAAAUGAAUGGACGGAA